UCUCACAUUUAAUCGUACAGCUGUCACACAUAUUCAUUUUCUAAGAGUUACAUUUCAAGAUAUACAAUACAAGCAUGUCCAUAAGAUACAUUUUGCUUAAAUCUACAAAAACCAAUGACAUGCAAUUGUUGUUAUCCACAAUGCCCAGUUCCUUUGCAGAUUUAUUAACCUCUGCCUAUCCUUACUUGCCACAAACCCUAAAAUGCUCUGCUCAUGUUGCUGACCUGUCAACCAAAUUAGCUGCAAAUGUCCUUCCAGCUGUUUGUCUUUAGUAACUACUACAAAAGUACUUACUUUCUGAAACAUGUUGCUGCCAUCAAAUUCAAAAUGAGCCUGUAUUUUUUAGUGAAAUACUAAAAUGCCUCAGUUUAAACAUCAGUUAUUUUUUGUGUGGUCUAUUAGGAAUAAAAUAUCAGUUUAUGGGAUUUGCAAAUAAUUGCAUUUCUGUGUACAUCCUUACAGUCAAACACUUCAACAUUUUAUCUCAGAUCUAACCUGUUAUUUAUUACCUGUUUUCUCAGCCUUUAUUGAAUAAAACUGGUGAAGCUCAGCACCUAGAGCUGAACGUUACAAGCACAGGAAGUGAAACUGAAAAUGCAUCUGCACCAUCUUCCACCAAUAACAGAGUAGAAGAAAAAGUGGAGAUCACACGUGAAGUCAGAGGAAAGACUGAGCCAGAAGAUGAAAAUGAAGAUCAGUCAGAGAAAAGAGAAGACACCGCAACAGGAGGAGGAGAAUCUGAAACCUGGACUCCAUCACAACCUUUAAACAUUGAGAAGGGAGAGGAGUCAGCGAAGAGCGCAGCUGAAACAGAGAGCUACACUAUGAAUGAAGACAUACAGUCAAAGAGUAAUGACACUGCAGCACCAGCAGAAAACUCUAUAAUCAAGAUUCAAGCGACAUCUGAAGCCAAUAAGAAGGGUAAUAUUUUUUAUUUGAACUUUGAUAAUACACAAUAGCAAAACAUAU